rnacentral:sRNA from 1 species
UGUGGAAAUGAAGCAUCUCUUUCUGUUCUCUCUUUGAGAUGGUUUGAGUUAGAUUGUGUCUCUUCCAAGCUCACCACACCCCAGUGCCUCCAGUCAUCUGCUUUCUUGAAGGAUGGCCACGCUGGUGAAUUCUAGACAAAUUCUAACCCAGGGGAGAGGGCUGGAGAAUUUCUGGUCCUGGUUGGGAGAUACUCCCUGUUAAACCUUCGGAUCUGCUGACCUAGCUGAGGUAGCCAGGGGCUAUUUAAAAAUUCAGAAUCUCAGGUCUGGCUGUGGAUAAACCCCCAAGGUGGUACGUGCAGUUCUUGGAGGCGUGAGGGCAGAAGGUCCUCCCCAGCAGUUUGCACGGGACACAUCAUCUAUGGGAUAUUAGUAAAUAUCCUUAAGGAAAGGCUUCUGUGGUCAAAACCAGGUUCAGCAGGUUAUUUCACUAUGGGGCUUCUCAGGACACUUAACCUACUCAUCCCCCUCUGGGCUUUGCAAACGAGGCCGCCAUUGCUUUCUUUCUGCUAUGUAGAAACAGAUUGAGGCGUAAGGGUCGGAUGUCCUUUCUCCAUUCAUCAGGCUCCCUCUUCCUGAGGAGCUGCUGUCAGAACAGCCUGGGGCUGCUGUGUUGCAGGUUAUGGUGGCAUAUCCUUGGCAGUGGAAGGCCCCAGCAAAGUGGACAUCCAGACGGAGGACCUGGAAGAUGGCACCUGCAAAGUCUCCUACUUCCCCACCGUGCCUGGGGUUUAUAUCGUCUCCACCAAAUUCGCUGACGAGCACGUGCCUGGGAGCCCAUUUACCGUGAAGAUCAGCGGGGAGGGAAGAGUCAAAGAGAGCAUCACCCGCACCAGUCGGGCCCCGUCCGUGGCCACUGUUGGGAGCAUUUGUGACCUGAACCUGAAAAUCCCAGGUGGGUGUUGGGGACUAGUAGGGUGGGGAAGCCUUGGCUCCAGCCUUCAGGGCAGUGGGUGCCUUUGGGAACCAAGUUUAGGCGUGGCCCGGAACAUAGUAUCCAAGUCGGCUGUGCUGACCUUUUCAUUUCACUUCAUUUUAUUAUGUUCUUCUAUGUUUAUUUUCACAGAGUCUCAUCCAAGAAAAACAAAUGUUUACCUCGCUACCUUUUUCCUCUUCCAAAUAAAAAUAGCUUUAUUGUGUCACAUGGGGGAAACGUAGAUAUGCUUUUAGAUUUUUAGAUUAACUAUCUGUCAAAUAGAAUCAUGUCAGUGAAAGAACUGGCCCUGCCGAUGCCAGGGUCUGGAAGUAUUUAAGAGGUGGCAGCCCAGCAGCAUCCUUCUAGUAUUUCUCUUUCAUUCCUGAAAUUAGAACGAGGGCUGUGCUGCAGAUCUCGCUGGGCCACAUCUAGCCCUUUGGUGGUGAAUUGUUCCUCUUGGGCCCCAAUUAGCCAGUCAACAGGUCACACGGUCUGUCUGAAAUGUGUUCCAAGUUCUUUCUAUAAAGAAUCCUUCCAGAGGGAAGCCACUGUGAGUGAAAGUUUUGAGGCUCCUCUGCCCAGAAGUUAGCAUGUCCUGUGGAAUUGCACAAAUUCUACAGAGAAGGGAAAUCUAAAUCGUCUUCAGAUGGAGCUUGUGUUGCGAGCUCUGGAGAGGGGGUUGUCUUUCUACACUGCGUCUCCCAUCCUUCCUAACGUGUCACGGAGCUGUCAACUCCGCCUUCUUGGCUUUAGUUAACGGGUUCUUCUUGUGUAGUCACAUCAACGUCGGGUCACAUGGGAAUGUGGUAAAGCCUCAUUACUGUAGAGUUCAGACAUGAUCACUUAAAAAGAGCUUUAUUGGGCCGGGCGUGGUGGCUUACUCCUAUAAUCCCAGCACUUUGGGGGGCUGAGGCAGGCAGAUCACCUGAGGUCAGGAGUUCGAGACCAGCCUGGCUAACAUGGCAAAACCCUAUCUCUUCUAAAAAUACAAAAAUUAGCAGGGCAUGGUGGCGGGCAUCUGUAAUCCCACCUACUCAGGAGGCUGAGGCACAAGAAUUGCGUGAACCUGGGAGGUGGAGGUUGCAGUGAGCUGAAAUUGCACCGCUGCACUCCAGCCUGGGCAACAAAGUGAGACUCUUUCUC